GACGAACGCUGGCGGCGUGCUUAACACAUGCAAGUCGAACGGGGCGAAGUGAUAGCUUGCUAUUAUGGAGCCUAGUGGCAAACGGGUGAGUAACGCGUAGGCAACCUGCCCUUCAGAUGGGGACAACACCUCGAAAGGGAUGCUAAUACCGAAUGAUGUUUCCUAGUCGCAUGACCUGGAAACCAAAGGCCGGGCAACCGGUCACUGAAGGAUGGGCCUGCGUCUGAUUAGCUAGUUGGUGGGGUAACGGCCCACCAAGGCGACGAUCAGUAGCCGGUCUGAGAGGGUGAACGGCCACAUUGGGACUGAGACACGGCCCAAACUCCUACGGGAGGCAGCAGUGGGGAAUAUUGCACAAUGGGGGAAACCCUGAUGCAGCGACGCCGCGUGAGUGACGAAGUAUUUCGGUAUGUAAAGCUCUAUCAGCAGGGAAGAAAAUGACGGUACCUGACUAAGAAGCACCGGCUAAAUACGUG
rnacentral:rRNA from 1 species